AACUCUGCAAUAAGCGAAAGCUUGACAGGGUUAUUCUGAGUGAUUUCCGCUAAGGAGAUCUUUUGGCACCUCUAAAAAUGGUGCAGAAUAAGGGGUGGGCAAGCCUGGUGUCAGCCGCCGCGGUAAUACCAGCACCCCGAGUGGUCGGGACGAUUAUUGGGCCUAAAGCAUCCGUAGCCGGUUCUACAAGUCUUCCGUUAAAUCCACCUGCUUAACAGAUGGGCUGCGGAGGAUACUACAAGGCUAGGAGGCGGGAGAGGCAAGCGGUACUCAGUGGGUAGGGGUAAAAUCCUCUGAUCCAUUGAAGACCACCAGUGGCGAAGGCGGCUUGCCAGAACGCGCUCGACGGUGAGGGAUGAAAGCUGGGGGAGCAAACCGGAUUAGAUACCCGGGUAGUCCCAGCUGUAAACGAUGCAGACUCGGUGAUGGGCCGGCUUUAUGCCGGCUCAGUGCCGCAGGGAAGCCGUUAAGUCUGCCGCCUGGGGAGUACGGUCGCAAGACUGAAACUUAA
rnacentral:rRNA from 1 species